CCGGCCUUAGCUCCGUUGGUAGUAGCGGCAGACUGUAGGGGCGCCUCCGACGUGAUCACGGGCGGCACAGGCAUCUGUAGAUCCCUGGUUCAACUCCGGGAGGCCGGA